rnacentral:rRNA from 1 species
AGUGAACGCUGGCGGCGUGCCUAAUACAUGCAAGUCGAACGGAGUGGCGCACGGGUGAGUAAUAUAUAGCUAACUUGCCCAUUACUAAGGGACAACAGUUGGAAAAGACUGCUAAUACCUCAUAGUAAUGGUUAGGGCUAUAUCGUAUCAGCUAGUUGGUAAGGUAAAGGCUUACCAAGGCUAUGACGCGUAACUGGUCUGAGAGGAUGAUCAGUCACACUGUAACUGAGACACGGUCCAGACUCCUACGGGAGGGAGCAGUAGUGAAUAUUGGUCAAUGGGGGAGACCCUGGAGCAGCAACGGCGCGUAGAGGAUGACAAUUUUCGGAGAGUAAACUCCUUUUAAUGGGAAAGCGGUACCCACGGAAUAAGCACCGGCUAACUCCGUGCCAGCAGCCGCGGUAAUAC